AGCCUACGGGGGGCAGCAGUAGGGAAUUUUCGUCAAUGGGCGCAAGCCUGAACGAGCAAUGCCGCGUGAACGAGGAAGGUCUUCGGAUCGUAAAGUUCUGUUGAAGGGGAAAAAGAGCGGAGAGAGGAAAUGGUCUCCGAUUGAUAUUACCCUUCGAGGAAGUCACGGCUAACUACGUGCCAGCAGCCGCGGUAACACGUAGGUGGCGAGCGUUAUCCGGAAUGAUUGGGCGUAAAGGGUGCGUAGGCGGCCUGCUAAGUCUGGAGUGAAAGGAACCGGCUCAACCGGUACAGGCUCUGGAAACU
rnacentral:rRNA from 1 species